UAUCCCAGCAACCAGAAAAGAAGCUAACACAGUGCCUCCAGGUCAAGGACAAACUUCUUCGAGGAGGUCUGAGCAUAGAGGGUUUGCAUAUCUGUCACGAUGCCUGGGACGGAGAGAAAGAACUACAAACAACUUAGAUACAGCAGUGAUUCAAGGUUGUCAGGUCUAGGAAUUCCUGAAUUAAGCAGGUGACCCACCCAGCUGCCGGAGCAGUCAAGUCGAGGACCUCCAAGAGAAGCUAGACAACUUCCACCGGAACUCAGCCCGGAGUCUGGGGGGAAGGGUUUGCCCAAACUGUUAAAAGGUCUGGCGCCAUUAAAGUUUCUGGCU